GGGGAAUAAGAUAAGAUUCUUAAGAUAGAAUCCGAUCCGACAAACACAUAACACUUAAAUGUCGGAAUAAUAAUAGCAACUCCACUCCUCCCUUACAUUAUAAAGGUAGCAAUUAGCAAACAAAUGACGACAAAAAGGGUAGGAAUUGUCUUUUCUUAACGACACCGACUUUUCCAAAUCGUUCGCCUGGAAAUGAAAUUUAAGGACCGGUGAUUACGCUUCUGACCGGUAACUCGCCAUUCGUAU